rnacentral:lncRNA from 1 species
AUGAUGCUAAUUUCCUCAUUUUCCUCACAGUACAGCGAGUCUCCACUGAGCAGGGGCUGCUUCCCAAACCGUGACUCUCUUUCUCUCUCAGCAGUGGGUCAGUCGCUUGUCGCUCCAAGAUCCAACCGCAGGGAUUCCACAACACCCACCAGAAUUAAUAAGUUUAUCAUUUAUGAACUUGCAAACUUCAACGGUUACUCCAAAGAACUGACCUCUGACAUCUCCCACCUGGGGUCUGUAGACGGACAUGACUGCAUCUCCUCACUGAAGGUCAUUGACCAGCCCUGGGUGGCCUACCAGCAUCAUCAUUAUUCAGGUUUUCUGAAUUGGGGCCAGUAGGAGGAGGCAGACGAGCACACACUACAGGAGGUGAGUACAUACUGCAUGAAUGUAGCUGAGACAAAAUAGGAAUUUGGCUCAUAGGAAAUUGUAAUAAUUUGACAUUUGUUUAUGUCCCAAAUUGGAAAAAUAUCAAAAAAUUUCACAAAAGAAUUUGUUUAGUAAAUGUUGAAACAUUUUGUUUCAAGUCAGUUUGACAUUGAACUGCAUUUGCUUAUUGCCUCAUGGGACAGGUAGUUUGGGGUACCUCAUGCGUUCAUUCUUCCCUAUGGGGCAGGCUUCCUGCCAAGAAUACAUCUCCGUGACGUGCCAUGUGGCUCUGUCAGAAGGGAGACCACAGUGCAUCAUGGGAAUGUAGUCUGGGUAAGGGUCCAGGUAAUAGUUGAGAAUGGGGGGCACAAAGCACCUGCACUAUGACUCCCAUGAACCAUUAAGGCACUCUAGGCGGAAGCGGUGUACUGUUGAAUAGCCCGGAAAUGAAACAUUUUCUUUUGAUUUCCCCCCAAAAUUCAGCAAAAUUGAAAAUUUCCCAUUGAAAAUUUAGAUUUUUUAGAAAUUGUCCAAAAAUCAUUUCAAUAGAAAAUGCCCAAUCAGCUCUAUGUACAAUGGAGACCCUGGCCAGGCCCCAUUCUCUGCCACGACCAUCUACUUCUGGGAUCUUCGGCUCCCUUUCAUCACACAACAUUAGAAUUAUGUCAGCUUUAUACAGCUAUAACCUGGUGCCCCUCAGAGUUCCUAUCCAUAGGGAACAUUGCUAAUUUAUGUCAGAAUAAAUCAGCAUAAAUCCUUCUAUUGUGUAUGUAA